UCGUGUUCUGCCACACUCCUGUGCUAGGCUCCCCCAGCUUCCACCUCUGGAAUCCUUUCCAGCUCAUACUGACCACUGGUCUCCUCCCAGCAUCAUCGUUUCAAGAAUCUUCACUUCACUGAAGAAACAGAAGAGGGCAAGCUUGAGCAAACUCCCAUGUCAUAACUGUAAGGAAGGAAAUAUCUAGCUCUGUAGGAAGAGGAACACUAACCCCACAUCAGAUAGAGGGCUCAUUUCCAAAAUACACAAAGAACUCAAGAAAUUGGUCAUCAAAAGAACAAGUAAUCCAAUAAAAAAAAAAUGGAAUACAGACCUAAAGAGAAAACUCUCAUCAGAGGAAUCUAAAACGGCUGAAAGACACUUAAGGAACUGUUCAACAUUGUUAGCCAUCAGAGAAAUGCAAAUCAAAACAACUCUGAGAUUCCAUCUUACACUUGUAAGAAGGGCCAAGAUCAAAAACACUGAUGACAACUUAGGCUGGAGAGGUUAUGGAGAAAAGGGAACACUUCUACAUUGCUGGUGGGAAUGCAAGCUGGUACAGCCCCUUUGGAUGUCAGUGUGAUGAUUUCUCAGAAAAUUAGGAAACAACCUUCCUCAAGACCAAGUCAUACCACUUUUGGGUACAUAUUCAAAGGAUGCUCAAUCGUGCCACAAGGACACGUGCUCAACUAUGUUCAUAGCAGCAUUGUUUGUCAUAGCCAGAAUCUGGAAACAACAUAAAUGCUCCAAUACUGAAGUACGGAUAAGGAAAAUGUUGUACAUUUACACAGUGGAGUAUUACACAGCAGAACAAAAUGACAUCUUGAAUUUUGCAGGAAAAUUGAUAGAGCUAGAAAACAUUAUUUUAAGUGAGAUAACCCAGACACAGAAAGACAAUUAUCACAUGUACUUCCCAUAGGUGGUUUUUAAACAUAAAGAAAAGAAAACCAGCCUACAAGCCACAAUCCCAGAGAACUUAAACAACAAUGAUGACCCUAAGAGAGACAUACAUGGAUCUAAUCUACAUGGGAAAAAGAAAAGACAAGAUCUCCUGAGAAAAUUGGGAGCAUGGGGACCUUGGGGGAGGGUUGAAGGGAGGGAGGGAAAAGCCAGGGAGGGGAGUAGAGAAAAAUGUAGAGUUCAAUAAAAAUCAAUUAAAAAAAAAACAACAAAAGAAAAGGCACAGUUGCAAAAGAGAUCAUCACAUCAAACAUCUCAUCUGAACCGAGCUCUUUUACAAAACCAAAUUAACAGCAUGCAUCCAGAAAACCAAAGAGUAAAUGCUUCAAACCUAACAAAGAGAUGACAAAUAAGUCAGAAAUUUAAACCAUAAACACAUAAAAUAACCAAGAAAGGAGUUGGGACUCAGUAUUGUAAGAAUUGAUAGGACUCAUGAAAGACAAUGAAGAAAAGUCAAGACAAUCUCAGAAAGGAAGAACAAAUUAAAUGUUUGCCAUUGGAUAGUAGAUAGAUGUAAACACAGUAUGGCAGGACUGAAGAAGGAUGAGGGCUAAAGGAAUAGUAAUAAGACAAGAAUAGGAACAGCGUCAAAUCAAAAGUAAUUGGACAGACAGUACAACGGGAAUUCCUGACCACUGCUUUGGAAUAGAUUAAUAUUUCAAACUGAAAUCCAGAAAACAUUUCAAAAUAAAAAUAACAAAGAUUUUAAAUAUGUAAAAAUAAGCAAACAAACUGAAAUUGUCCAUAGGAAAGUUGACCCAGAUAAUUAACUCUGAGAUGCCAUCAAAAUCAUAAGCAAACAAUAACUUUUUAGGACCUUAAAACCCAAAGAAAGACAAUCUAGUCCUCAGGCUCCCGAGAACAGACAUAGAGCAGCAAUGCAGCAGAGACUCUUUGAAGAUGUUCCAGAGCGUCGGAUUGCACUGACACCAAAGCAACAAGGCUUAAGGGUGCUUUCUCAACAUGGGAGGAUCCAGGGUAUGGCAUACUCUCUGUUUUUAAAGUCUUUAUUAAAGAUCCAGAGCAGAACUGGCUGUGGGAGAUCCCUAUGUUGUAAACGUGCAUAUAGUUCUUGUAGAGCCAAGAAUUAAGUAAGGUUGGGCUGGGGUUGAAAGAGUGGUUUGCAAGUGUUUUAGCCAACUUUCAUUAUUGUGGAAAAUCUUGAAAAAUUAAACAACAGUUCAAUGGA